rfam:Solenopsis invicta Si_gnG.contig02714, whole genome shotgun sequence.
CGACCGGCCCUUUUCAGGGCCACCAAAUUUUCCAACAGAAUAUUU